GAUGAACGCUGGCGGCGUGCCUAAUACAUGCAAGUCGAGCGAACAGACGAGGAGCUUGCUCCUCUGACGUUAGCGGCGGACGGGUGAGUAACACGUGGAUAACCUACCUAUAAGACUGGGAUAACUUCGGGAAACCGGAGCUAAUACCGUAUAACAUGUUGAACCGCAUGGUUCAACAGUGAAAGACGGUCUUGCUGUCUCUUAUAGAUGGAUCCGCGCCGCAUUAGCUAGUUGGUAAGGUAACGGCUUACCAAGGCAACGAUGCGUAGCCGACCUGAGAGGGUGAUCAGCCACACUGGAACUGAGACACGGUCCAGACUCCUACGGGAGGCAGCAGUAGGGAAUCUUCCGCAAUGGGCGAAAGCCUGACGGAGCAACGCCGCGUGAGUGAAGAAGGUCUUCGGAUCGUAAAACUCUGUUAUUAGGGAAGAACAAAAGUGUAAGUAACUAUGCACGUCUUGACGGUACCUAAUCAAAAAGCCACGGCUAACUACGUG
rnacentral:rRNA from 1 species